rnacentral:lncRNA from 1 species
UUUGUAUCAGUACAUAAUAGAUACGUGAUUAUUAUGCAUGAAACCCACAGAAACAGCUGCUAAAUUUAUCACACUUAUAUUGUGAAUUUGUACAAGCAAUUAAUAAGGAGUUACAACUUGUUUAGGUAAUAUUACAAUGAUCAGAAACAAUUUAUUUCAUUUUAAAUUAGGAAUCCUAAAUUGCUUGGCUCCAGAUGCUCCCACGUCUAUGCCCUCAUCAUCAUUUUCAUCGGGAACAUCUUCUUCGGCAUCUUUGUCGCCAUCCCCUUCUUUUUCAUAUUCAUAUUCAGAAUUUUUGUCUCUUGAUUCUAGAUUUACAACCUUUGUUUCCUGUAGUGAUUUUUCCCUUUGUUCGUUGAUUUGGGCUUGCUGGAUGAUGCUUUGGUCUUGGUAUGCAAAGUAUCUUCAAUCUUUAGAAUUCUCUAUGACAUUUGGUAGCCAAAUUAAACAACUCCUAAGCUAGCACUUCUCCAAUCUUGAUCUCCUUCAUGUCAUCUGUAACAAUUUUGGACCAAAAAAAAAGAUAAUUUGUUUAAUUGCUUAAGAUUUUUACCCAGCAUUCAUAAUACACUAUAAAAUCAUGAUAAGUACAUUUAACCUAAUACAUACAUAUUAGAACCUACAUUAAUCCAAUCAAUUUUAAUCCCAUAGAUUGGUAUUAUAGAAAUAGGUACUAGUUUACAAACAUGGGAUAACAAACUAUCAAUUUAAUAGUGUGUGCACUUUUCUCUUUCUUUUAUUUAUUUCCCUUCCACUGUAAAUCCCGCCGACCUUGCUUUAACAUGAUUAUGUUAAUUGAUUAUUAAGUUACAAUUGAAUGAAAGUGUUUGUCUAGUGUCACUAUUUAUUCACUGAUAAUAAUAGUUAUCCAACAUGAUAUACAGAUCUUGUAACCAUUUUCUACAACUAAGUAAGGCACAGUAAACACUAUGCACAUUCAGUCUAACACAUAAAUUAGAAUCUAUACUUAUACCAAUUGACUUUUAAGCAAUCCACUUCAACUACUAGACUACUAUUGUAUGAACAGGUACCAACUUUCAAACACAAGAUAACAACCACUAUUAAUGUUCAAUAUGUGCACUUUCCUCCCUACCUUCCUUUUAUUUUUUUUCCUUCAUUGUGACCUUUCUUUAACAUCAUUAUGUUAAUUGAUUACUAAUUUACAAUUACAUGAAUAUAUUUUUCACUAUCACUAUGUAUUCACAAAAAGUAAUAGGUGUCCAACAUAAUGUAUGGACACACUACUAAUAAACACAUCUUGUAAGUCUUUUAUUACACUAAGUGGGUCACAUUCAACAAUAUGUACAUUCGACUUAACACAUACAAAUUGACAUUUAUAUUCAUACCAAUCAAGUUUGAAGUAAUUUACUUUACCUACUACACUGCUAUAGUAUGAUUGACUACUAAUUUUCAAACAUGAGGUAUUACCCUUUGAUGUCUAAUAGUGUAUGUACUUUCCUCCCUCUUCUAGCUUUUAUGCAUAGUCGGUAGGCCAUCUUGUAAUCUAUCAUAAAUUUUUUCACUUUUCUUACCUUUACUCUUAAUGUAUAUCUCAUACUACUUCAAUGUAAGCGGUCAUAAACACCCAGUAAUGCUAUGCACAUCAUAAGGCAUCCAUACUUAUCUACCCAUACAGAGCAAAAAAAAAAUUUGACUUCAAAAUUUCCUUGUUAUUUUAGCAACCUAAAAUCUCCCGUACCCAUUUAGUUCAUAUAAUGAUUACACUUGCUAUUAAUGCGAGAGUUACGACCCCUGUUUAUCCCGUCCUAACAACUCCUUCUACUAAUUGGUUUGGAAGUUCUCCUUUUCUUUUUUGCAAACACUUGGUGAGCAAAAUUUCUCUCUACUUUACUCUCCCAUAUGGGCCAUGAACAGAUCUGAUUUCUAAGAUACAUAGGGUUUCCACAACCAUGAUAUAAAAUCAUGGGAUGCCAUUCCAAACAAUGAAAAUUAUGUCAUUGGCUUGCAAUAUUGUUACCAGAAGGGUUUACGUAGAUGCGAUUGGUUGUCAUUGCUUCGCACUCCAUCAUCUUUAGCUUCAUUGCUCGGUCCUGACCUUCCUCAAGCCUUUAUAGAUAUUAGGCCUCCAAGACUUUCUCCUUCAAGAGGUAGUUCUUCCUUUUCCUAAUUAAGUAUAUUUUGACUGCUUUUCUUCCGUCCCUUGUCUACCACUUUCCUACUCACUGAUUGUAUUUUGCCUUAGUUCUAAAGUUGUGGAUGAAUAUUGACAACUUUUUAGAGGGAGACUAAAAGAGUUCCUCCUUUGA